rnacentral:ncRNA from 1 species
GUUUAUGACCACAAAAUUAUAAGACUUUUUGAUAUAUUUAAAGGUAGAAGGGAGCUUGACUACAAGACCCACCCGUCGAGCAGGGACGAAAGUCGACCUUAGUGAUCCAACGGUGCCGAGUGAAAGAGUCGUCGCUCAA